rnacentral:rRNA from 1 species
AUUGAACGCUGGCGGCAGGCCUAACACAUGCAAGUCGAGCGGCAGCGGGAAAGUAGCUUGCUACUUUUGCCGGCGAGCGGCGGACGGGUGAGUAAUGCCUGGGGAUCUGCCCAGUCGAGGGGGAUAACUACUGGAAACGGUAGCUAAUACCGCAUACGCCCUACGGGGGAAAGCAGGGGACCUUCGGGCCUUGCGCGAUUGGAUGAACCCAGGUGGGAUUAGCUAGUUGGUGAGGUAAUGGCUCACCAAGGCGACGAUCCCUAGCUGGUCUGAGAGGAUGAUCAGCCACACUGGAACUGAGACACGGUCCAGACUCCUACGGGAGGCAGCAGUGGGGAAUAUUGCCCAAUGGGGGAAACCCUGAUACCGCCAUGCCGCGUGUGUGAAGAAGGCCUUCGGGUUGUAAAGCACUUUCAGCGAGGAGGAAAGGUUGGUAGCUAAUAACUGCCAGCUGUGACGUUACUCGCAGAAGAAGCACCGGCUAACUCCGUGCCAGCCGCCGCCGUAAUAC